ACCUUUAACAACACCUAAUGAAACUGUGCUUUAAUCCCAAAAUUGGACCUCCACCGCAUCAGUUCUUCCACGGUUCCACCCAUUUCACAAAAUAUGUGUCUGUGAUUUUUGUCUUCUGUGUAAUAACAAAUUGUUGCAAUUCAUUCUUUCUUACUUUCCCUUUCCUUCGUCUCUGCUCUGUUGCUUCUUGGCCAGACUAAGCUUCUUUGUGGCAUGUGCUGUAUGUGUAUGUCUAUGGCCUUUUUUCAGUUCUUUCUUUGUUUGGUGAACCAUUUGAGCUUGAUAAUGGGACUUUGAAAUUGGAAAACAACUUAAAGAGAAUGAAUCUGAACCAGAGAAGAAGAGGUUAAUGGAGCUUGGAACAGGAUCGGCUUCUUAAACGAGAUAUUUCUUUCUUCUUUUAGUAGCAUUCAGAUGUUGAUGCCAGGGAAGGCUUAUAAUAGGCUCUGAUGGUAUAUGGAAUGCUUUAUCAUCGGAUUUUGCAGCAUAGUCUUGCAGAGCUUUACCGAUAAAACUUGUUGCAAAGAUAGUUGUGAAGGUAUGGAGUAGGUUAUCAAGUUUAAAAGUGUCAAUCAAAUACGUGAAUUACUCAAAUCAAUUUACUGUCAUAGUGCUGAAUUUUUUUUUAUGUCACAUUAUUUGGAUUUUUUUGUCCUAUAAUAACUUACAUUAAUUCAUCAAGCCUUAGAGGCCUGACU